GCGAACGAUGAUCCGGUGCUUGCACCGGGGAUUAGUGGCGAACGGGUGAGUAACACGUGAGUAACCUGCCCUUGACUCUGGGAUAAGCCUGGGAAACUGGGUCUAGAUACCGGAUAUGACUCCUCAUCGCAUGGUGGGGGGUGGAAAGCUUUUGCGGUUUUGGAUGGACUCGCGGCCUAUCAGCUUGUUGGUGAGGUAAUGGCUUACCAAGGCGACGACGGGUAGCCGGCCUGAGAGGGUGACCGGCCACACUGGGACUGAGACACGGCCCAGACUCCUACGGGAGGCAGCAGUGGGGAAUAUUGCACAAUGGGCGCAAGCCUGAUGCAGCGACGCCGCGUGAGGGAUGACGGCCUUCGGGUUGUAAACCUCUUUCAGUAGGGAAGAAGCGAAAGUGACGGUACCUGCAGAAGAAGCGCCGGCUAACUACGUGCCAGCAGCCGCGGUAAUACGUAGGGCGCAAGCGUUAUCCGGAAAUUAUUGGGCCGUAAAGAGCUCGUAAGCGGUUUUGUCGCGUCUGCCCGUGAAAGUCCGGGGGCUCAACUUCCGGAUCUGCGGUGGGUACGGGCAAGACUAAAAUGAUGUAGGGGAACUGGAAUUCCUGGUGUAACGGUGAAAUGCGCCAAAU
rnacentral:rRNA from 1 species